CCUACGGGGAGCAGCAGUGAGGAAUAUUGGUCAAUGGGCGCGAGCCUGAACCAGCCAAGUCGCGUGAGGGAAGACGGUCCUAUGGAUUGUAAACCUCUUUUGUCGGGGAGCAAAAGACGCCACGCGUGGCGUUCCGAGAGUACCCGAAGAAAAAGCAUCGGCUAACUCCGUGCCAGCAGCCGCGGUAAUACGGAGGAUGCGAGCGUUAUCCGGAUUUAUUGGGUUUAAAGGGUGCGCAGGCGGAAGAUCAAGUCAGCGGUAAAAUUGAGAGGCUCAACCUCUUCGAGCCGUUGAAACUGGUUGUCUUGAGUGGGUGAGAAGUAUGCGGAAUGCGUGGUGUAGCGGUGAAAUGCAUAGAUAUCACGCAGAACUCCGAUUGCGAAGGCAGCAUACCGGCGCUCAACUGACGCUCAUGCACGAAAGUGUGGGUAUCGAACAGGAUUAGAUACCCGGGUAGUC
rnacentral:rRNA from 1 species